CCUACGGGCGGCAGCAGUGAGGAAUAUUGGUCAAUGGACGAGAGUCUGAACCAGCCAAGUAGCGUGAAGGAUGACUGCCCUAUGGGUUGUAAACUUCUUUUAUAAAGGAAUAAAACGAGGCACGUAUACCUUUUUGCAUGUACUUUAUGAAUAAGGAUCGGCUAACUCCGUGCCAGCAGCCGCGGUAAGACGGAGGAUCCGAGCGUUAUCCGGAUUUAUUGGGUUUAAAGGGAGCGUUGAUGGGUCGUUAAGUCAGUUGUGAAAGUGUGCAGCUCAACCGUAAAAUUGCAAUUGAUAAGGGCAGUCCUGAGGACAGUUGGGGGUGGCGGAAGUUGUGGUGGAGCGGUUAAAUGCUUAGAUA
rnacentral:rRNA from 1 species